rnacentral:lncRNA from 1 species
AACAGAUGAAGACAAUACUUUGAAAUGAUGAAUCCUUGAGGUAUGUUAGCUUAGCAACUCUUGAGAACUUCCAAAACUCGAUUUGCCAUUAAAGGUCCUUGAAGAAAACAGAGCUUGGAACUGCAAUACAGGCGAAGAAUGAUGCUUGAACAAGCUUCCAAAUGCUGUCUAGAUCAUGGAGCAAACAAGAGAACUCAUGGUCUUUUGAGGGUUUUGAGCAGAAA